rnacentral:lncRNA from 10 species
UUUAGGAUGACGCAGAUGCUAAAUGCCGCGGGAGUCAGAGAAAACCUGGGGUCCUGAUGAUGUUGUUGAGCUGCUGAAUCAACCAUCCCUAAACCCUAUGCUCCCAAGACUUCUUGUCAUACUACUACAACAGCUUCUUCAUGAUGUCCAAACCCCAAUUUGGCCUCUCUCUGAUCCUUCAUCUAUGCUGCUGUCACAUGGGCCUUCCGGUGAUCUUAUCUGAAGCAUUAAAAGCAAGAACACAGGACUGAACCAAACUGAACAGUGA